CUGAGGCUGGCCCCAGCCGGCCGGCAGAUGCGCAAUUGUCAGGAGCAGUGUGAGCAGGAAACGCAAGGGGGCAGCAGCAACGAGUGCAGUCAGCAUAGAGCCCCAGACUGGAUGGCGGGAAGCCCAGGUCCUGUGGCACGUGAACCCACACGCACAGACACAUGGAUGAACUCAGGGAGCUGCGCAACGCUGGCAGGUCCCACAGUCUCCGUGCCUCAGCCUCCCCAGUUAACCUAAGCACAUAAUCUCUUCCGCCUGUGAUGGUCUAGCCCAGCCUGGAGAGCGGUAAGCCCAUCCCGCCUGGAACUGGGGGCACUGCCCUGGCUGAUGGUGUCCACGGAAUCCCCAUCUGGACAUGAGUGGAAACGGUGAGGCUGGCCCAGGAGGAGCCACCCAAAUUGACUGUUAUGACUGAACGUCUGCAAGGUAGCUGGGCACGGCUGGAUUAAGACUGUCUAGCCCUAAACAUGGACGGGAUGGUGCUGCCUCCAUUUGUAAGAAGGUAACUCCUCAAAAUGAAACUUCAGGGCACAAAAGGCCACAAGAUUGCACCAGACCCUAUUCAACAAUGACCCCCUGUGGCAGCAAGCAGAGCAGCAGCCAGUACGUUCUUCUCAGGCACCCAAGGGAAAGGUGUGGAAGCAGGAUUGCCUAAUCCUGGAACAUUCAGGAAGGGAAGGCCUGCAGAGAGACAUACUGCCAACAUGCAUGGGGAUGCUCGAGGAACCAAUUGAAAAUCAGAAGAGAGUUUUGUAUUUGCACCUCCAAGCAGGUGAAUUGAGUCAUGCCUGCUCCAUGUCCCCUCCCUCUGCCUUUUACAGCCAGGGUAGGGUUGUCUCCAUCAUGCCCUCCACAGGAGCUAUGGGGAUCACUGUGGCCUCUUGUGCUAGGCCUGAGUGUGGGGUUCCAGGGAAGGCAGCAGGGCCAGGGGAAGUGGGAUGGCGGAGCCCAGCCUCCCAUCCUGCUCCUCAACCCGAGAUGCUGGUGAGCUCGUGGGAGGCUUGGCUGCACCCCCUGGGGCUCAGUUUUCCUUGACAAUCCUCCUCCCCAAGGCUGUGGCCCCAGAAAUCACCCCCCACCACACACACACAC
rnacentral:lncRNA from 10 species